CUCUAAUUUCCUUAAUAUCAUUCGUCCCCCUCCCCUAUUCUGAAGCAAAACAGUGAAAGUCCCAAACAAAAACAACAAAACCCUAGCCCUAGGUUCUUUGCCGCCGUCCCUGUCUCAGCGCUUCCGCUUCUUCCUCUUCCCUCUGUCCGGAACCCAGGUAGCUCGGCACGUCGUCCCAUCUUCACUGGCUUCUCUGUCCGUGGCUUGGAGCAGCUUGCCAUCGAGUCACCGCAUGCCGUCGUCUCUGCUCUCGCCGUCGUGUCGCUGAUCGCUGCUAGAACUGGGUCGCCGAUCGCUGCCAGAACUGGGUUGCCAGUCGCUGCCGUUUUGGGUGCAGCAAAAGCUCUUGGUCAAAUCAAACCUCUUGGAGUUGAGGUUCAUUUUGUAGUUGCAGCUUGUAAGAAUAUGAUUAGUGGAAAAGGUAUGAGGCCUGGAGACAUUGUCACAACUUCAAAUAGAAAGACUAUAGAGGUUAACAACACUGAUGCGGAGGGUAGGCUUACCUUGUUAUGUAAUAGAAACUCUGUUUUGUGUUGUAAAUGGUUUGGUCUAAUUUGACCAAGGUCAAUUUACAUGUAUGAGAUAUAAGCUUUGCACUAUUAUCAUGAGUGCCAAUAGAUACCAGAAAAAAAAAAUUAAAGCAAAGAAGCUUUUGCAAGA